UCACAGCGUCUGCUUCCUUUAAUGGAAACAUCUACAUGGGUGUGAUGUCAGUGAGACCUGUGUCUCUGUCUUCACAUCUCAGACCUCGUCACUCAUGGAGGGCCGUCACGUUGUUCUGCUCCUGGUCUCAGCAGUGGUUUCCUAAAGAUCAGACUGAGUUUGUGGAUCAGAGUUGAAGGUGACGGUCAGACCAGGAGACAACAUCACUCUCUACUGUGACUGUAAAACAUCAACUGGAGUUUACAUCGUGUGGUACAGGAACUGUUCUCAUGAGAACCAGCCUUCACUCGUUCUGAAACGUAACACGGGUUCCUGGACAGAAAAUCUUCCUCCUAAUUUCCACUUUGUGAAGAACCAGUCCUCUGACUCCUACGACCUGCUGAUCCUGAACAUCACUGAGUCAGAUGAAGGUCUUUACUACUGUGGAACUGAAGAAUAAAAAGUGGAGGAUAAGGAACACAUAACUUCUAGAUAUAUUUACUACAGCUACAGCAACAUCACAAGAAGAAUCAUAUUCAAUGCAGAACCGAAUGAGACUCCUCCCCCCAAGAUGC